GACGAACGCUGGCGGCGUGCCUAAUACAUGCAAGUUGAGCGCUGAAGGUUGGUACUUGUACCAACUGGAUGAGCAGCGAACGGGUGAGUAACGCGUGGGGAAUCUGCCUUUGAGCGGGGGACAACAUUUGGAAACGAAUGCUAAUACCGCAUAAAAACUUUAAACACAAGUUUUAAGUUUGAAAGAUGCAAUUGCAUCACUCGAAGAUGAUCCCGCGUUGUAUUAGCUAGUUGGUGAGGUAAAGGCUCACCAAGGCGAUGAUACAUAGCCGACCUGAGAGGGUGGUCGGCCACAUUGGGACUGAGACACGGCCCAAACUCCUACGGGAGGCAGCAGGAGGGAAUCUUCGGCAAUGGACGAAAGUCUGGCCGAGCAACGCCGCGUGAGUGAAGAAGGUUUUCGGAUCGUAAAACUCUGUUGGUAGAGAAGAACGUUGGUGAGAGUGGAAAGCUCAUCAAGUGACGGUAACUACCCAGAAAGGGACGGCUAACUACGUG
rnacentral:rRNA from 1 species